AACCAAGGGUAAGUGGGAGCCGCUCGUGACGGUCUGUUGUAACUCAAAGACUGUGUGUGUGAGCCCUGUAGUAACCAGACGGAAGAAAUCACAGUGCAAACAAUGUGGGGCGGGGGAGUCGAGCACCCAGGGGACACAGAGGGGUGGGCAGAGGUGAACAGGAAGGGGCGGCCGGGGCCACAAGCUGAGCAGGCCCAGGAGCGAGGCCCCGCCUGUCGGCCUCGUGCUGCCCGGGGCAGGUUCCCCACCAAGACGAUUCCAACGGGCCGGUGGACCGAGAGCGAGCCUGCUGCCCGCCCGGGACCCACGCGGAGCCCAAGCAGGGGGUGCAGAGAGGCGUCCCAAGGCAGCUGGCCUUGGAUAGAUAGUCGUUGCUUCUGUGGGUGUCAAUCUCACUUCUGCAGGUUGCCUUUUGGAGCUCUGUGCGUGACCGCAGGUCAGGGGGAGACGUGGCGUUUGUCCCUUCAGGACCGGCUUGUUUCUCUCAGAAGGUUUUCCAGUUUCCUCCAUGUUGUUGCCCAUGACCGGAUUUUGUGGUGUACAUAUCCCAUCGUCUCGUUAUCCAGUCUUCAGCUGAGUUAACAGUAAUCAGCCGUUAAGGCUUCCUGGUCUGGCUGAAAACCCAUGAGAGCAUUUGAGCCAUGGAAAGCCAAGACACUGUGAGUGAGACCCCAGCAGAACGAAGUGCCAUCAAAGAAAGAGGAGGUGGCCGAAGUUUGCAGGAGCAGAGCCGGCUCAGCCAGGAGGGCGCAGAGCCCGCGCCGCCGACAGAGGGCGCGCAGCGACCGCGGCCGGGGAGACAAGGACGGCAACGCAUGGGGAUUUCCGCGCAGAACACGCCGCGCGCGGAAGCGUCCUCGAGGAAACGUGGACACGGGGCUCACUGGAAAGCGUCCCCACCGUGUUCCAAGAGCUGGCCGGCUGUCUGCGCCCGUUGGCAAAACAGACGCCCGCAGCUGGCGCUUAAUACAGAGGAGGGGUCCUGGCCUCUGCCUCGGGCUUCCCGGUGGCGAGAGCACCUGCGAGGGGGGUCACAGGUCAGGGCAGGGGCCAGGCCCACUGUCCCAUAACACCCGCUCUCAAGGGAACCACCCCGGCUCAGGGCCCCUGCCCUCAGCCCCGCCUCUUCCAGGGGCUACCACCUCCCCCCACGGCACUGCCACCAGGCUCCCAGCACGGGGACCACAGCGGAAAUCAUGGACCCUAACUAAAGGAAGACUGAAGGGUCGGCGCUGGCAUGGCAGGCAAAACCACCGCCUGCAAUGCCAGCUUCCCAUAUGGGCACCGGUUCGAGUCCCGGCUGCUCCACCUCCCAUCCAGCUCCCUGCUAACGGCCUGGGAGAGCAGUGGAGGAUGGACCAAGUGCUUGGGCCCCUGCACCUGUGUAGGAGACCCGGAAGAAGCUCCUGACUCCUGGUUUCAGCCUGGCCCAGCCCUGGCCAUUGCAGUCAUCUGGGGAGUGAACCAGCAGAUGGAAGAUUCUCUCUCUCUCUCUCUCUCU